CUUUACAUUUUUAGACCUAAAUUGCCAGUUGACUAAUUUAUUUUUGAUAUAUUAUAUUAUAUAUGUGUUUUCAUUCAUGGAAUUGAUUAGGUAACUGUUUUUAUCUUAUAACUGUUUUUAUACUUUACAGUCCAUGGUUUGUAGUGCACACAGUGUCCCGUGCUUAUAACAGCCUGAAGCAUGGACCUGCAUACGUCACCAAACCAGGCGGAGGGCGUGGCAUUCGCAGCAAAGUACACCGCUGAUUGGCUCAGUCCCGGUGAGCCCGCCCUGUUUCUCUCAGAGCGGCCAAUGAGAAGCUGGGCGGAGAUUCGUGCCGUCGUCGCUCUGCUGCGUUUGUAAACACAAAGCGGCUCCUAACAAAAUGUGCAGCGCAGCACGUGAUCUCGUAUAAUCAGUGCUGUUAAAGCGCUGGGUUUAUAUAGAGAAUUAAAAUGGCACAGUUUUUUAACUGUAGUCCGACGAGCCUGGACAGAAAGGCGUGGCUGCCUGUGCGGACGGCCGUGGCUGUGCUGCUCACGGUUAUUGUGUUUAAGUUUGUGUUCUCGUGUCCGUGCACCGCUCCGGCGGAGACCGUGCUGCACUGCUGGCUGUAUCUGCUGCUGCCGGUGGGGAUCGUGUUCUUUAUCCUGGCUCUGCUGGACCCGCGGCUGCUGAAGGCGUGUCAGUGUUGUGGAUGUAGGUGCUGUGUCCGCUCGGGGAGCCGCUGCUCUGAGUGCUGCUGCUGCUGCUGCUGCUGUGCUGGAGAACACAGUUACCGCCCCGCGAGCUGCUGCGGGGAGGAGGGCAGGUAUUUCUGCGCGCUGAUAUUUGGACAUGUCCUGAACGUGUUUUACGCGGCAUCGCUCUGGAUCGUGGUGGCGUUUCUGGACGGUGACUGGUACGUGUGUGUCCGGACCGCUGUGGAGAGCGGCACGGGGGAACAAAUCGCCUGCAAGGAUUUGCCAACCCCAAGAGGCAGAAACUUUAAGAAAGUACAACAGCGAGUCCCGAAUAAUUGGACUAAUUCUCAUUUUGGGACUUUCACUCCUGUUGACCGUAAUUUCAUCUCUCAAGACCUGUUGGAAGCCGUAUUACAAGUCCCUGUAUGAGGUUUAUGUGGAGCAGGAGACCUCUGCUAUGCUGGAGGAAAAGCUACGAGAGCAGGCUGUGGAGAGAGCCAAGCUGAUGACUGAGAAUGCAAUAAAAAACAUUCAGAAUCAGCCUGUGAGCA
rnacentral:lncRNA from 1 species